GCUGGAGAGCACUGGCGCAAUCUCGGCUCACUGCAACCUCCGUCUCCUGGGUUCAAAUGAUUCUCCUGCCUCAGCCAUGAUGCUCAAUUUCUAAUACUAAUUGCCUAUUUUACCGUCUGUUACAGCUUCAUUGUAGGAGGUGUGAAAGAGGAGGGAAAUUGUGUUGAGACCCAAAUUAACAAAGAACUGUGGAAGAUUUCUAGUCAAAAGUCAACGGGGAACUGAUUCUUGCCAACAACCACUAAACUUGGAAGUAGAUCCAUCAGCAACUGGACCUUCAGAUGAGAGUCAUGUAUGACACCUUGAUUGCAAUCCUGUGAGAGACCCUUAGGCAGAGCACCUAGUUAAGUCAAACUCAGAUUGCUGACUCCCAGAAAUUGUAAGAGUAAACUUGAGAUUGACCUGGAGGUUUGGUGACAAGUAUGCAGGAGAGUGCUGUGAAAGCAACAAUGUGGUCAGCCAUGAAAUCCCUGCUGAGUAUGGAAAAAUAUGAGGCCAGAAGCAAAGAGAGAAAAAAUGGUGCACAGAUACUCACAAAUAAUGAAAUGCCAAUAUAAGAAUUGAAUGUCAGCUGCGGUGCUCAGAAGAGUAAGCAAUGAAGACAUCUAGAUCAGUAGCUCUUGAGGAACACCCACGUUUUUCGGAUCAUCAAAAGCCAUGCAUCAGUGUGGUGAAUGCAUCCCCUACUGAAGAAGAAAGGGAGAGUUGUACAGAGAGCACCUGGUUGUAGCGGAUCAGAAAGACUGUGUUUGACCCUGCUUGAAAAGAACAGAAAAAAGCAAAGACAAAAGUUGAAUAAAUAAAAAUAUGAUGACCAACCUGCAAACUGUUAUCGAUCAAUGGAUGCAUUCACCGAGUAUUUGUUUCGGUAUGUGUGUGAUGUAUGACGUAUCCUGAAAGGAACAGGAACUAUCGAAAGUUUAUCUUUCAGCUACAUACUUUUGUGACUGCCAUAAAGUUUCACUUGUGUCGCUAAAUUACUGAAAGUGUUAAAGGAAAGAAAACUGGGGAUAGCCACAGAUGCUUGCAGUUUUCAAUUUGCUGACUUGAAUAUUUGCAACUGGUUAUUUAACACAUAUAUGAAUUUAGUUGAUUAUUUUCAUAUAUACUUUCAAUCAGUAUUUCCCAUAAUUAAAAAGACCUUCGCAUUUUUUUCUAUUAUCUGUUUUGGGUUAAGUUAAGUACUAAUACCCUAUAUUUCCAUUGCUGACCUUUAUAUUAAAAAUAUUUUCUCCUGCAA